rnacentral:rRNA from 1 species
GGNNAAGGNNGGCGUGCUAAUACUGCAAGUCGAGCGGACAGAAGGGAGCUUGCUCCCGGAUGUUAGCGGCGGACGGGUGAGUAACACGUGGGUAACCUGCCUGUAAGACUGGGAUAACUCCGGGAAACCGGAGCUAAUACCGGAUAGUUCCUUGAACCGCAUGGUUCAAGGAUGAAAGACGGUUUCGGCUGUCACUUACAGAUGGACCCGCGGCGCAUUAGCUAGUUGGUGAGGUAACGGCUCACCAAGGCGACGAUGCGUAGCCGACCUGAGAGGGUGAUCGGCCACACUGGGACUGAGACACGGCCCAGACUCCUACGGGAGGCAGCAGUAGGGAAUCUUCCGCAAUGGACGAAAGUCUGACGGAGCAACGCCGCGUGAGUGAUGAAGGUUUUCGGAUCGUAAAGCUCUGUUGUUAGGGAAGAACAAUUGCAAGAGUAACUGCUUGCACCUUGACGGUACCUAACCAGAAAGCCACGGCUAACUACGUGUCNUCAGCCGCCGUAAUACUUAUGUGGCAAGCGUUGUCCNGAAUUAUUGGGCGUACAGGGCUCCUAGGGCGG